AUUGAACGCUGGCGGCAGGCCUAACACAUGCAAGUCGAACGGUAACAGGAAGAAGCUUGCUUCUUUGCUGGCGAGUGGCGGACGGGUGAGUAAUGUCUGGGAAACUGCCUGAUGGAGGGGGAUAACUACUGGAAACGGUAGCUAAUACCGCAUAACGUCGCAAGUCCAAAGAGGGGGACCUUCGGGCCUCUUGCCAUCGGAUGUGCCCAGAUGGGAUUAGCUUGUUGGUGGGGUAACGGCUCACCAAGGCGACGAUCCCUAGCUGGUCUGAGAGGAUGACCAGCCACACUGGAACUGAGACACGGUCCAGACUCCUACGGGAGGCAGCAGUGGGGAAUAUUGCACAAUGGGCGCAAGCCUGAUGCAGCCAUGCCGCGUGUAUGAAGAAGGCCUUCGGGUUGUAAAGUACUUUCAGCGGGGAGGAAGGGAGUAAAGUUAAUACCUUGGCUCAUUGACGUUACCCGCAGAAGAAGCACCGGCUAACUCCGUG
rnacentral:rRNA from 1 species